CUUGAUGCACAAAAUAUAGCAACAACAACAAAUGGAGAUUACCAAAAAACCAGAUGGGAAUAAGAACCUCUUACAUUAGACAUGUUAGAGCAUUUUAGCAAACACCCAUUAUGAAUUCACAAGCUUACAAAUAGGAAAUUUAAUAAACCAGUUGACCUAGUUUUAAGAUUACCAGAAGUUGGAUUCUACAUCUGCCAAACUUCAAGCUGAUAGUUUCUAAUAAAUUUCUUCUUUGCAUUAGAAGAAAAAAAGGAGAAAAAAAAAAGAAAAGAGAAAGGUGAUUUAGCCAUUAAAAUAGAUGUAGUCAAAACAAAAUCAACCUAAUGUACCAUUUUAGGGUGAUAAUUUUUAUGAUGGACCUGUAAUAUCAUCCUAAAUUCCUAACGAUGAGCCUUGAAGGGAGAGAGGGCUCACAAAUUUUCGCUUUUCUAACUCGGGAUACCCCAUGGCUAAAACCAGUAGCCGCGUGGGUCGACGGUUCAAUACAGAGUUAGUGAGUAAAAAGGAAACCAGUUCCCAAAGGGAUUUUUCUUCAUCUUCCUCCGCCGCUUCCCCUUCGGACCUACACUCUUCUUCUUCUUUUCCGAAGGAGGAGCAGGUCCUUUCCUGGUUCUUCGAACUGCUGAGCUUUAAAAGCUUAUUUAUUCCUUCAUCUCUUUCUCAUCUCAGGUUUCUUUUUCUAAUUACAUAUAUAUCUCCUGCUGUCAACAACUUCUCUUUCUCUGUUCAAAACUAGUUUCCUAGAAACCCUAAAAGUUUCAAUAAGAUUUAUUUUCAUAUUUCAUUGGAAAAAGCUCAGAUUUUGUUCUUUCAAUGUCAGAUUCUAAGGAGGUAUUUGUUUUUGGGUCAUUCACCAAAGAGGAUGUCAGUUUGUUCAAAACCCAACCAUCCACUAGUCAGCCUAUGGAAAAGAAAGAACUUCAGUUUGUCUCUUUAGAUGCAGCAACUAUAAGCUCCGUGGGUUGCUUUAAGGUUGAACACAAGCAGGAUGAUAUUCCUAAAGAGGUAAAAAAUGUCAAUUCACCAAACCCUACGAGAAAGGAAAAUCCACUCAAGACUGUAAAUACAACAAACAAGCAGCGUAGAGUGUCCGCAAGUAUUGCUGAGAAUGGGAAUGUUACAUCUUCGUCCAGUUGUUCUCCACUUGUCAACGGGGUAGUAGAGAGAACUAGUGCAGACAUAAGUUCAUUAUGUAUAUCCCAAACUACAGAAUGUGCGCAGGAGCAAUUAAUUUCAGACCUUGAGUAUGGAAUAGAAACUGUUACCUCUUUCCCAGAGGGGAUAAGUGCCGUCGACUCAUCAGAAGGUUUGUCAUCAAAAGAGCAUACUUUUAAGGUGGUAUCGAAUGGGCCAGGUGCAUCUUUUAAAGCGUUAUUACCUCGAGGUUUAGUCAACUCAGGGAACCUAUGCUUUCUCAAUGCAUCACUUCAGGCUCUUCUCUCCUGUUCUCCAUUUGUUCAGCUUCUGCAGGAACUAAGAGCUUACGAUAUUCCAAAGAUUGGAUAUCCUACAUUACAUGCGUUUAUUGAGUUUAUCUCCCAUUUUGAUACUGCUGAUACAAGCUCAAAGAAAUCCCAAAUGGUGGUAACUCAGACUGAAAUGCCUUUCGUCCCCGCUAUGUUUGAGCCGGUUUUGAAAAAUUUCACUCCCGAUGUACCAAAUAGUGCGUCAGGAAGGCCAAGACAAGAAGAUGCUCAGGAGUUUCUCUGUUUUGUGAUGGAUCAAAUGCAUGAUGAAGUGCUCAAGCGUUUUGGUCAGGUUUCAAAUACAGGUGGGGGAAAUUUCUCUACCACUUCUCCUUCAGAAGAUGAAGGGUGGGAGACUGUGGGUCCAAAGAACAAAUCUGCAGUUACAAGAACACAAAGUUUAGUUCCAUCUAAAAUAAGUGAAAUAUUUGGGGGACAGCUGAGAAGCGUUGUGAAAUCUAAAGGCAACAAGGACUCUGCUACGAUUCAGCCUUUCCUCUUGCUUCACCUUGAUAUUUUUUCGGGAUCUGUUCGUACUGUUGAGGAUGCACUUCGGCUGUUUUCUUCUCCUGAAACAUUGGAAGGGUACAAAACAUCUGCAGCUGGCAAGGCUGCGUCCGUGAGUGCGAGCAAGUCAAUAAAGAUACAAGCAACUUCCAAGAUAAUGAUAUUACAUCUUAUGCGGUUUAGUUAUGGAAGCCGCGGAAGCACCAAACUCCAUAAGCCUGUGCGUUUUCCACUGGAACUAGUCCUGGGCCGUGAGUUGCUUGCUUCUUCGUCAUCCGAGGGUCGAAGGUAUGAGCUCUUUGCAACAAUAACUCAUCAUGGAAAGGAGCCGUCGAAGGGCCAUUACACUGCCGAUACUCGCUGUUCAGAUGGAAAAUGGUUGAGGUACGAUGAUGCUUCUGUAACUGCGGUGGCUGUAAACAAAGUGUUGCAUGAUCAGGCCUAUCUCCUAUUCUACAAACAAGUAUAGGUAAUUCAAUUAUUAUCCUCUACCACCAUUGUGUAAAAAGAUCAGCGACAAUAUGUGUGAGAGCCUACGCAUUGUAACAAUCAGAAGUCUUCUGCAUCAGAACAAUCAGAAGUCUUCUUGGUCUUCAUCUCCUACAUAGAAGAGUGCUAUUACAUGGAGUUCUCUCCCUGUGAGAGUUUUAUUAUUUCAAGGGGUUCCUGAAGGAGAUGAAGAAUCUUAAGUUUCUGAACCAAGACUGUCGUUUUAUAGUUGACCCCCCCCCCCCCCCCCCCCCCCCUUCUCUUUGUUGGUAAAAAUGGAAUGUACGAGUUUAGUUUGACAAGGGCAGAAGCUGGUUCCGUUGGUGUGUUAAACCAGUGUGCGCAUAUUUCGACCAAGCUCAGAGGGUUACGAUGCUUGUUAACAUGACAUCGACGAAGUUGUUUGCAAGGGGCCUAUGAAGGGGUUAACUGAGGCUCUCGUCCAUUUUGUACUGAUUUAGAUAUUAGCCCAAUUUUGCUCGUUAUUAGCCCAUGUACUAUGUAACAUCGCCUUAUUUUCAGCCCAUUUGGUUCCCUUAAAAACAAGAAUCCUGUUUCAAGGUUCUAAGAUCAAUAGUG